rnacentral:rRNA from 1 species
CCCUGGUAGUCCACGCCCUCAAACGAUGCGAACUGGAUGUUGGUCUCAACUCGGAGAUCAGUGUCGAAGCUAACGCGUUAAGUUCGCCGCCUGGGGAGUACGGUCGCAAGACUGAAACUCAAAGGAAUUGACGGGGGCCCGCACAAGCGGUGGAGUAUGUGGUUUAAUUCGAUGCAACGCGAAGAACCUUACCUGGCCUUGACAUGUCCGGAAUCCUGCAGAGAUGCGGGAGUGCCUUCGGGAAUCGGAACACAGGUGCUGCAUGGCUGUCGUCAGCUCGUGUCGUGAGAUGUUGGGUUAAGUCCCGCAACGAGCGCAACCCUUGUCCUUAGUUGCCAGCACGUAAUGGUGGGAACUCUAAGGAGACUGCCGGUGACAAACCGGAGGAAGGUGGGGAUGACGUCAAGUCAUCAUGGCCCUUACGGCCAGGGCUACACACGUACUACAAUGGUCGGUACAGAGGGUUGCAAUACCGCGAGGUGGAGCCAAUCCCAGAAAGCCGAUCCCAGUCCGGAUCGAAGUCUGCAACUCGACUUCGUGAAGUCGGAAUCGCUAGUAAUCGCAGAUCAGCUAUGCUGCGGUGAAUACGUUCCCGGGCCUUGUACACACCGCCCGUCACACCAUGGGAGUGAGUUGCUCCAGAAGCCGUUAGUCUAACCGCAAGGGGGACGACGACCACGGAGUGGUUCAUGACUGGGGUGAAGUCGUAACAAGGUAGCCGU